rnacentral:rRNA from 1 species
UACGUAGGGGGCUAGCGUUGUCCGGAUUUAUUGGGCGUAAAGAGCGUGUAGGCGGCCAGGUAGGUCCGUUGUGAAAACUCGAGGCUCAACCUCGAGACGUCGGCGGAAACCCUCUGGCUAGAGUCCGGAAGAGGAGAGUGGAAUUCCUGGUGUAGCGGUGGAAUGCGCAGAUAUCAGGAGGAGCACCAAUAGCGAAGGCAGCUCGCUGGGACGGUACUGACGCUAAGGCGCGAAAGCGUGGGGAGCGAACAGG